CAGUCGCCGCGGUAAAACGUAGGUCCCGAGCGUUAUCCGGAUUUAUUGGGCGUAAAGCGAGCGCAGGCGGUUAGAUAAGUCUGAAGUUAAAGGCUGUGGCUUAACCAUAGUACGCUUUGGAAACUGUUUAACUUGAGUGCAGAAGGGGAGAGUGGAAUUCCAUGUGUAGCGGUGAAAUGCGUAGAUAUAUGGAGGAACACCGGUGGCGAAAGCGGCUCUCUGGUCUGUAACUGACGCUGAGGCUCGAAAGCGCGGGGAGCAAACAGGAUUAGAUACCCCAGUAGUCCCUGUCUCUUAUACC
rnacentral:rRNA from 1 species